GUUCUUCAAGUUUUUGGCUCUUCAUCAAUCAUAGCACCAAGAGAAAGAGAAUGAUGGCCAAGGAGGGAGCUGACUGAAGCUUAAGAGGGAGCUGCGUUCCACUCACCCAACUGUUCUUCGAGUUUCUUUGCUAGUUUAUUCAAUUUCUUUUAACACAACUACCACCACAAGCAAAGAGAGGUUUGGGCUCAAGAGAAAAACAGGGACAAGUCUUGUG